rnacentral:rRNA from 1 species
UACGAAGGGGGCUAGCGUUGCUCGGAAUGGCUGGGCGUAAAGGGCGCGUAGGCGGUGAAUCGGGUUGAAAGUGAAAGUCGCCAAAAAGUGGCGGAAUGCUCUCGAAACCAAUUCACUUGAGUGAGACAGAGGAGAGUGGAAUUUCGUGUGUAGGGGUGAAAUCCGUAAAUAUACGGAGGAACGCCAAAAGCGAAGGCAGCUCUCUGGGUCCCUACCGACGCUGGGGUGCGAAAGCGUGGGGAGCGAACAGG